rnacentral:rRNA from 1 species
GAUGAACGCUGGCGGCGUGCCUAAUACAUGCAAGUCGAGCGAACAGACGAGGAGCUUGCUCCUCUGACGUUAGCGGCGGACGGGUGAGUAACACGUGGAUAACCUACCUAUAAGACUGGGAUAACUUCGGGAAACCGGAGCUAAUACCGGAUAAUAUAUUGAACCGCAUGGUUCAAUAGUGAAAGACGGUUUUGCUGUCACUUAUAGAUGGAUCCGCGCCGCAUUAGCUAGUUGGUAAGGUAACGGCUUACCAAGGCGACGAUGCGUAGCCGACCUGAGAGGGUGAUCGGCCACACUGGAACUGAGACACGGUCCAGACUCCUACGGGAGGCAGCAGUAGGGAAUCUUCCGCAAUGGGCGAAAGCCUGACGGAGCAACGCCGCGUGAGUGAUGAAGGUCUUCGGAUCGUAAAACUCUGUUAUUAGGGAAGAACAAAUGUGUAAGUAACUAUGCACGUGUUGACGGUACCUAAUCAGAAAGCCACGGCUAACUACGUG